GGUAUAUUAGCUUAGUUGAUUAGAGUGUUGUUCUAAUAACUUGAAAGUCGUAGGUUCAAUUCCUAUUUUGACUA
rnacentral:tRNA from 1 species